rnacentral:rRNA from 1 species
GACGGAGGAUGCAAGUGUUAUCCGGAAUCACUGGGCGUAAAGCGUCUGUAGGUGGUUUAAAAAGUCUAUUGUUAAAAAUUGAAGCUUAACUUCAAAGAUGCAAUGGAAACUUUUAAACUUGAGUAUGGUAGGGGUAGAGGGAAUUUCCAGUGGAGCGGUGAAAUGCGUAGAUAUUGGAAAGACCACCGAUGGCGAAGGCAACUCUACUGGGGCCAAUUACUGACACUGAGAGACGAAAGCUAGGGGAGCAAAUGGG